UGAAAGCCUCCCAAGCCAGGGCACAACACAAACCCUGGUGCCUCAGGCACCAAGAAACCGCAACAAAGCGAGCGCGCCUCACGCCGAUUGCACCCAAAAUAACUCUCGGCAACGUAUAUCUUAGCUCUCAUAUCUAAAAAGAACAGAGCGAAAUAUGAUACUUGGUGUGAAGUGGAGAAUCCCGUGAACCAUGGAGUCUUUGAAUGCAAGUUACGCCCGAAGCCAUUAGGCUGAGGGCACCCCUGCCUGGGCGUCACGUAACGUCGCGGCUACCUGACGCGGGGCGCGGUUGAUGAUGGCCUCCUAGGGGCUCCAUCCCCUGGCUAGCUGAAAUGUUGGCCUCGCGCGAUGGCCGCCACGAUGCCUCGGGUUGUUCAUGAAGAAACGUGCGCGCGUUGACCCACGGGGAGGGCUGAACCCCGAAUCCCACAGCAACCCCAGGUCAGGCGG
rnacentral:misc_RNA from 1 species